GAGCCCGGAAUAACUCCCCGAAAGGGGUGCUAAUGCCGGAUGAGACCACGGGAUCCCCGGAUCCUGAGGGAAAAGGCGGCCUCUGUACACAAGCUGUCACUCCAAGAUGAGCCCGCGGCCCAUCAGCUAGUUGGCGGGGUAAUGGCCCACCAAGGCUACGACGGGUAGCUGGUCUGAGAGGACGAUCAGCCACACUGGAACUGAGACACGGUCCAGACUCCUACGGGAGGCAGCAGUGGGGAAUCUUGCGCAAUGGGCGAAAGCCUGACGCAGCAACGCCGCGUGUGUGAUGAAGGUCUUCGGAUCGUAAAGCACUGUCGGGAGGGACGAAUAAGGCGGCGGCUAACAUCCGCAGCUGAUGACGGUACCUCCAAAGGAAGCACCGGCUAACUCUGUGCCAGCAGCCGCGGUAA
rnacentral:rRNA from 1 species